AAGAACCUGAAACCGUGUACGUACAAGCAGUGGGAGCACGCUUAGGCGUGUGACUGCGUACCUUUUGUAUAAUGGGUCAGCGACUUAUAUUCUGUAGCAAGGUUAACCGAAUAGGGGAGCCGAAGGGAAACCGAGUCUUAACUGGGCGUUAAGUUGCAGGGUAUAGACCCGAAACCCGGUGAUCUAGCCAUGGGCAGGUUGAAGGUUGGGUAACACUAACUGGAGGACCGAACCGACUAAUGUUGAAAAAUUAGCGGAUGACUUGUGGCUGGGGGUGAAAGGCCAAUCAAACCGGGAGAUAGCUGGUUCUCCCCGAAAGCUAUUUAGGUAGCGCCUCGUGAAUUCAUCUCCGGGGGUAGAGCACUGUUUCGGCAAGGGGGUCAUCCCGACUUACCAACCCGAUGCAAACUGCGAAUACCGGAGAAUGUUAUCACGGGAGACACACGGCGGGUGCUAACGUCCGUCGUGAAGAGGGAAACAACCCAGACCGCCAGCUAAGGUCCCAAAGUCAUGGUUAAGUGGGAAACGAUGUGGGAAGGCCCAGACAGCCAGGAUGUUGGCUUAGAAGCAGCCAUCAUUUAAAGAAAGCGUAAUAGCUCACUGGUCGAGUCGGCCUGCGCGGAAGAUGUAACGGGGCUAAACCAUGCACCGAAGCUGCGGCAGCGACGCUGAUGCGUUGUUGGGUAGGGGAGCGUUCUGUAAGCCUGCGAAGGUGUGCUGUGAGGCAUGCUGGAGGUAUCAGAAGUGCGAAUGCUGACAUAAGUAACGAUAAAGCGGGUGAAAAGCCCGCUCGCCGGAAGACCAAGGGUUCCUGUCCAACGUUAAUCGGGGCAGGGUGAGUCGACCCCUAAGGCGAGGCCGAAAGGCGUAGUCGAUGGGAAACAGGUUAAUAUUCCUGUACUUGGUGUUACUGCGAAGGGGGGACGGAGAAGGCUAUGUUGGCCGGGCGACGGUUGUCCCGGUUUAAGCGUGUAGGCUGGU
rnacentral:rRNA from 1 species